CAGUUAAAUAGAGUAAUUAAUGUUUCCGAGGUUAAACUAAAACUAUUUAUGUCAGCGAUAAUAUACCUAAGCACUGCAAAAAAAGCCCUAUUAAUUAAACAUUUCGACCCUAUCUCUAAAUAAAUCUAGUUAUUGGAGCGGAGAAGACAGUUCCAGGGUCAUUUAAUUCAAGUACGAGAAUCUAUUGAGCUGGCAGGAAACAGCUCGCAGCCGGAAAAUAGCUCGCAAAGGGGACUUGGAACAAUGCUUAAUUUUCAAUAUAUCACUCACUGCUAUCGUUUAACUGUCCCUUUGCGACUUCAAUACACUGCAAAUACAUCAGAUAAACACUUAAAAUCAGUAGAAGGCUUUAAAACAAACACAUAGGAGAUUACAUAGGAGGAACUACUCUGAGCUGAUACUCACUCCUGGUUUGGGCAAUCUCAACGCUUAUAUAUAGAUCACAGGUGGUUAAAGAGACAUAAAUCAAGGCAAAUUAAGACGUUUUUUGCUGUCUUUACCCCAUUGGACAUGUGUAGUGGCUAGUAUCGAGACUUAUUUCCCCGAGGAGGCAUUUCUCGCACACACCCGGUCCCAGCCGUGGAGGGAGGAGGCUGGUGUGUUAUUUUUGUGUUUUUUGAAGCGAAUUAUCCUGUUGCCGAGGGAGCCAUGCACCUGGAAACGGCUGGGGAAGGAGACGGUGGCUGAGUGGUUAGCGUGCCGGUCCUGCGUUCACUGCGUCAUGGAUGAUGAGGGUUUGAAUCAGUCGCUGCCACAGACUACUUGUCCUGAAGACCACCACCAUCAUCCUGGACUGUAUGGGACUGUCCAAGGGAAAGCAAGAUGGGGCCGCUAUAAACACUUGCCGGCUUGGGCCCACCACCAGGCCCAGCCAAGGGAGGUUGGUGUAGCAGUGCCGGGAGGUUCCAUAACACAGGGCACUCCUCACCUCAACAACAGUCUCUUCACCGACAAGUAAUUCUUCACCAACAAGCUUUUCAGCAGCUUGGAGGAAUAGAGACAAGAGGAGGAGGAGGAAGAAGAGGAGGAGGAAGAUUAGGAGGAGGAGGACUUUGAAGACUGACAGACAGACAUCAUUCCAGUGAUGGAAGAGGAAGAGGAAG